rnacentral:lncRNA from 1 species
AUGACUAAUCAGGAUACCACUACUACCUGUACUUAUGUUAAUGAGUCUGCUAAUGCCCACUCUGUAUUCUUUUUUCAGAAACUCUUUCUGCAUAAGACUGCAGUGUGGGAAAACUGGAAAUGUCCCAGGGUGAGCGACCAUUCCCCUGCACGUGGCCUGACUGCCUUAAGAAGUUCUCCCGCUCUGACGAGCUCACACGGCACUACCGAACCCACACCGGUGAGAAACAGUUCCGCUGCCCGCUCUGCGAGAAGCGCUUCAUGCGGAGCGACCACCUGACCAAGCACGCCCGCCGCCACACCGAAUUCCACCCCAGCAUGAUCAAGCGAUCCAAAAAGUCCAGCUCCAGCAGCAACUUGUGAAGGCAGGGCUGGCCCUGGGGGAGGAGUGGGGAAGAGGCAGGCUGUGGCAAGGAUGCAGGCCGUGGUGCCAGGGCACGAGCAUCCACUGCGGUGCCGGUCACCCUCGCUGUCCAAAAGCACAUGUAGCCGGCAUUUAAAAAAAAGAAAAAAAGCACUCAGUAUCCCCCUCCCCAUCUUCCACCUCCUGGCUCUGCCCUGAGAACAACAGUCUGGAACAAGUGGACUGUGGGGUGAGAGGAGGGAAGGGGCAGGCAGCGAGGAGGCGACCACCUCUUCCAAUGUAAUGCGUUGAUACUGGUGUACAUACAUACGACUGGGCGGUCUGGCCUGUGCCACCACAGUAGCAUGACCCCAAAGUCUUUGUGAUUGCUGUGUCAUGAACAUGUUUUGUUGAACAGUGUAAUGCUGCUUGUAUUUAGAGUCUGUCGAGUAAAAACACUUUCCGAGUCACAUAAAUAACUCAGAUAAAAACUCCAUAGCACAUUGUAGAAGUGGGUUUAUUUCUGUGUAUCUUCUGCGAUCCUGCACUUAAAGAGACUAUUAAGAGAAAUAUUACAUAUGUUACCAAUAGUGACUGAUUGAUAUACUGAGAUAAGGUGAAUUUAUACUCAAUAAGGCCCAUUAACGUAAAUAGGUAUUUUUAAUUUUUCUUUAUAUUAACUAUACUUUUGAAUAUCAGCUGGACUUUUCCAGUAAGAACAUGUAUGAUUCAAGAAGAUACUUAAAGCAAAAAAAAAUCCCCAUAAAGAGCUCAGUAAUUUUCUGACUGUGUGUGUAUUUAGGUCUGUUAUUCACUUACCUGGAAAAAUACAACUCA